rnacentral:rRNA from 1 species
UCUCCCUUCUCGGGAGACUCUCUCAACCCCCACGAACCCUUGACCUCAAAUCGGGUGAGACUACCCGCUGAACUUAAGCAUAUCAAUAAGCGGAGGA